rnacentral:rRNA from 1 species
GACGAACGCUGGCGGCGUGCUUAACACAUGCAAGUCGAACGAAGAGCGAUGGAAGCUUGCUUCUAUCAAUCUUAGUGGCGAACGGGUGAGUAACGCGUAAUCAACCUGCCCUUCAGAGGGGGACAACAGUUGGAAACGACUGCUAAUACCGCAUACGAUCUAAUCUCGGCAUCGAGGAUAGAUGAAAGGUGGCCUCUACAUGUAAGCUAUCACUGAAGGAGGGGAUUGCGUCUGAUUAGCUAGUUGGAGGGGUAACGGCCCACCAAGGCGAUGAUCAGUAGCCGGUCUGAGAGGGUGAACGGCCACAUUGGGACUGAGACACGGCCCAGACUCCUACGGGAGGCAGCAGUGGGGAAUCUUCCGCAAUGGACGAAAGUCUGACGGAGCAACGCCGCGUGAGUGAUGACGGCCUUCGGGUUGUAAAGCUCUGUUAAUCGGGACGAAAGGCCUUCUUGCGAAUAGUGAGAAGGAUUGACGGUACCGGAAUAGAAAGCCACGGCUAACUACGUG